ACCCAAUUCCCUCAAUCCCCCUUUAACAAAUAACAGCAGACCAACAACAACUUGAAUCCAGCUUCAACAACCGACAACUUCAACUCUCAACAUAAAACACAACACCAAUACUCCAAUAUCAAAAUAAAAAAAAAUUAACGCGAAACAACAACAACCAAUGCAUCAAUAACAGUAAUUUCAAAACAACAGUAAAUCAAGUCAACAAAGACAACUAUUAAUCUGGAUUUUCUCAAAAUCGUUCGAUCUGAUAUGAACACGGACGAUCAUGAUUAUUCAUUUUUAAAUUUCAAAUUUUUCAUCCUCAAUUUCUUAUUUGUUUCCUCCUUAAAAUCAGUCCAAAACCUCCUAUAAGUACCCAUUGAAGAACAAAAGGGAGGGAGGAGGAUUUUGAGCAAAAAUUUGAGGAUUCGGGAGGUGCGUGCUUCUAAUCCUACACAAUCAAAAAUCCUAAAAGAAAUAGACUCAAAAACUCGAUUAAAAAAGAUUAAACUCUGAAGGAUCGGGAUUCAAACUCCGGUGGUGAAAGUCCAUCGCCAAGGUUCGUUUGUCCUAGUUUGCUGCCCUAAAAAAGGUGAAUACUUCAUCCUCUUUUACAUUUUCUUAUAUUUGUGUGUAAAAAAGAAAAAAUUCAAACUUAACUUUAUGGCGAAUGCCGUGUUGGCAUGCGAUUUUUUUUAUUUUUUAUUUUUUACUUUUUGAAAUUGGUCUUGUUUGAAUUCAAAACGGCCAUCGAUGUUAGUCUAAAAUUCUUCAAUUUUUGGUAAUAUUUGUUGAGGAAGAUUAAAAAUAAGAAAAAUUCACAAAACGAUUUGAAGGGUCGUUGCACAGGCAAACUCUAAGAUUUGUUUGAUUAAAUCAUUCUUGUUCUCUAAAAUUUUCUGAGUAGGAUCUCACUUAACCCUUUCUAGUGGAUAAGGAAAAUUAAUUUUUGGAAGCAAUACUGUGUCAACAAUAUUCCUUGUUAAUGACUUGUACUUAUCACGCCACAUAGUACCAAGGUGGUACUCUUCAAUAGGGUUGUCAACAGAGGUGUAAGCAUACUUAACAAGUAGAUUAAUGUCCAAGUUAAAAUUGACUGCAACAAGAAGAUUAUUUCUUAUAGCAUUACAAAAUUUGGGGAAGACAUGAAUUUCACCGGCAGUGAAUGAGUACUCCAUUUGAUGGAAACAAAUCAAAGGCUAAAUUUAUGUUGGUAAUAAAAAUAAGUUUGCCAUUGGAGUACUCUACUCGUGUAUUUUUUUUUUCCAUCCUUGUCCGGUGCCCGCAUUGGAACCCCGACUAAUCCGAAUCGCGCGUUGCAUGGCCAUUAAGGUGGCAGCUCUCCUAACAGAGUUUUCUUCAUACCUAGAGUCGAACCAAAUCCUACCCCAAAAGAAUAAUAUUAAAGAAGUUUCCAUAUUCAAAAUGUAUGUAUUUCAUAUUCAUUAGAUAUUUUCUAACGAGAUGUCUAAGAGUGCCUUAAAAUUCUAAAUAAGAACAUCAACUGUUGUUUUGAAGUAAUAAAUUAAAUGCAAAGAAAUAUUCAUUGGUGGUUCCAUAUUCAUACUUUUAUCAUUUUUAAAAUAUCUUUCAUAUUAGACAAAAUAAAAAAUUUAAUUAUUUUCUAAUAUUUGCUAUUUAUCUACUAAAAUUUUGGCUUUUUGGGGGAAUAAAAAUUUUGGUUAUCUGAAUAAGGUAGGAAAUUUAAAAUUUAGAACUUUAAAAUAACUUAUAGUUUUACCAUAUAUAUAAUUAAUCCUACUAAGCAAUCUCAUUAUAUUCUGAUUUUAGUAUAUUCAUAGAAAUAGUAAUUAUUUCACAAAACACAUUUGGUACAUAUUAAGAAUUAUAUACAACUAAUUUAAGUAAUUACUUAUUAAAUUUUUCAUGCAACUAUAAUUGAAUCAUUGGAUGGACAUAAUAGUCCGUCAAACAUUACUAAAAGCAUAUAUAAUGAAUUAUGGAACAUUUUGGUCUGAUGUGUAAAUAGCUAAUGCAUAACAAAAUAAUUUUCAACUCGAUUAUAUUAUUCAUAAAAUUUAUAUGAUUUUUUAAAAGUAAUGUUCAUUAUAUAAUGUACGAACAAAAAAAUAAUCUAAGUUUUUGAUGAAGUCCUAAAUUUUGGAUUUUAAAGUCGCUUAGAUUUUAUCUCGUGUAAAUUAUUUUUCUUUAGAGCUUUUGUGUUAAUUAAAAUAAAAAUUAUUAAAUAUGUUUAAUAAUCGCGCUAGAUUGUAGGUGUGAGACACAUCUAUAUCUAUAAUCUAUAAUUAUUUAUAAUUUAUAUUUAUAAUUUAUAAUAUAUUAAAAGUGUGAAGUCCCUUAGAAAAGUGAUUUGAACAUUUUACCCUUCAUUAAAAACUCCAUAAUUGACAAAACUGUCAUUUACUAUUAUAUUAUAUAUAAAAAGUUCAAAUCACUUCUCUAAGGGUCUUCACACUUUUAAUAUAUCAUAGAUUAUAAAUAUAAAUAGAUAUAAAUUAUAAAUAUAGAUAUAGAUAUAUAGUCAUUUGAAUAUAAUACAUUCAGUUAUAUGCUCGUGUAAAGAACUUUUGUCUAAAUUUAAGAUUUAAAGCUAAUUCUUAUUAAUACAUGAAAACAGAAGUAUUAUAUUGUUACCCGUACUUUGCACACGAUAUACCUUUAUAUGAUUUGGUCAUCCGAAUGUAGGUUAUGAUUAUGAUACUUAAUUAUUUUAAAUUGAAUAAUUAAAAUCUUAAAUUACAAUGACAUGUUUAAGAAGACUGCUUGAAUAUGAUAAAGUCCAAUUUCAAAUUACAUUCUAUUAAGGGUGUGUUCGGUAAGAAGGAAAACAUAUUUUUAAAAAUGUUUUUUGAUUUUCGUGUUUGAUUGACUAAAAUAUGUUUGGAACGUAUUUUUCAGAUAUACUUAUUUUUCUCAAAUUUACAGAAAAUGAGGGUAUAGAAAUUAGGAAUUGGAUCUCAAAUCGAGGUCGAAAGUUAAGUCCUGAGUUGGGAUCUCCGGUAGAGUGUCGAAUUUGGUGAUCAAGCUCAACUCUAGAGUGGGGUUCAUGUCGAGGUUGGGUCCCGGGUUUGGUUUGGAGUAAGGAGUUGGAUAUUAAGGUUUGGAAUUAGUCAUGAUUCAGGAUACAGAUCAAGUACCAUAUCGGAUCAUGAAAAAUCAAGAUCUCGGGUCAUGUAUCGAGUCAGGGUCAGAAGCGAGUUUUAGGGUUUAGAGUUGAGUCAGGAGUCGAUCACGAGUUGGGGUGCAUAUUCGGAUCUCAUUUCGGGUCAAGAAUCAAGAUCCCACUUCAAAUGUCGAGUUAGAAUCGAGUUUUAGGAUUUGGAGUUGGGUCAAAAGUUGAGUCACGAGUUAGGGUACAGAUAAGGUCCAACGUCGAUUCAUCAAGAAUCAGGAUCUCAAGACAUGAGUUGAGUCAGUGUUGGAAUUUAGAUUUUAGGGUUUGGAGGUGGGUCAAGAGUCGAGUCAUGAGUUGGGGUACAAAAUCGGGUACCAUGUCGAGUCAAAAAUUAAGAUCCCAGGUCAUGUGUAGAGUUAGGAUCGGAAGUCGGGACACGAGUCGAGGUAGAAAUCUAAUGUCAGGGUUGGGAGUGCAUUUUUGUACCUCAUAAAAUAAAUCCAUAUAGUUUUUAAAGAUUAUUAAUAUUUUUUAUGAUGAUUGAAGUUGAUAAGAGAUAACGUACAAUGCACGUUCAUAGAGACUAGUCUAUAAUCUAUAUCUAUAUCUAUAUCUAUAUCUAUAUCUAUAUCUAUAUCUAUAUCUAUAUAUAGGAAAAGUGUGAAGAUCCUUAGAAAAGUGAUUUGAACAUUUUGUCCUUCAUUAAAAGACUCUCCUUUAGACAAAACUGUCUUUUCACUAUUUUCUUCAAUUUAUUUUUUAAUUAUUUUUAUUAUAUUAACUAGACUCCUAAGAUAUAUGAGACUCUUAAAAUAUAUGGAAGGAGAAUCAAUUGAUAUUUUCCUUUGUACUGAUUAAUUAGAGAAAUACUCCUAAAAUAGGAUAAAAAAAUACUCCUAAAAUAAGAUUCUAUUAAGAAAAUACUUCUAUAAAUAUCGAGAUGCACGUUAAACUAGACAAAAACUGGUUUACUUAUUGUAAAAAUAUAAUUGAUGCUUAUUUGACUUGAUUCGGUUGCAUGUCUAGAUUGAUGGAUGCUUAAUUUUCUAACCCUCAACUUCUUCACUAUUUUUUUCAACAUAAUAGAUUCAACGUGUGUGCAUAUAUAUAUCUUCUUUGUUUUCAUUCAAGUCAUUUUUUAGUAUCAAAAUUUCAUUCAGACGAGAAUUAUUUUUAUCAAAACUGAUACUUUGUGAUUAUUAUUGUAUUAUUUUGUUGUACUUUACAGGUCGUAGAUGAUAAGUGGUAGAUGAAUGUCGGUCGGCUUUGGAAAUUUUUUUUAGGUAAAGGUUAGGUUUAAUUGUAUUAUUUUUAAAUCUCUGUUUUGAAAUUUUUUUUUGUGUAAAAGUAAAGUUUAGUUGUAUUAUUUUGAUAUCUCUAUUGUCGUAUUAUUUUGUUAUAGUUUACAUGUGGUAGAUGAGUGUCAAACAACUUUGAGGAAAUUUUUGUGUAAAUGUUAGAUUUAAUUAUAUUGUUUUGAUGUCUCUAUCGUCGUAUUGUUUUGUUGCAGUUUCAAGGUUAGAUUUAAUUAUAUUGUUUUGAUGUCUCUAUCAUCGUAUUGUUUUGUUGCAGUUUACAGGUGGUAAAUGACGAUCGACUUUGAGAAUUUUUUUGGUAAAGGUUAGGUUUAAUUAAAUAAAUUCUUCAAAAGAUGUUGAGUUUAAUUAUUGUAUUAAUUUUUAUUAUGUAAACAAAUAUUCUAUUUAAUGUAACGUUUGAACUCAAUAAAGUGAGUUACACGCGCGAGUCGCGUACACCUUAAAAAAUACGAAGCACCUUAGUGAACUAUUGUUCAACUUCUUUACUUUUUAAAAUAAAUUUUACAUUCAAUAAAAUUGUACUUAAAGGUACUCCAUUAAUAUUUAUGACUUUGAAAUAAUUACAAUUUUUAGUUAUCAAAUCAUUCUUUGAACUGUGAGUGAAAUCCUAAUAAUUAGGAGUUAAGACUUUAAAGUUAAUUAAAUUUUACCUUGUAUAAAUAAAAGUUUAGUAGUUGAUAAUUUUUCCUUUUACGUAAAUAUCCAAACUAGGAAUGUAAUAAUAACCAAACAAUUAUAGUUUAUAAUUUUCGUUUUACAUAGACACCCAAUAGGAAUGUAAAUAGGAACAUAUUAAUUGAAUCUAAUAAAACAUUUCAAGUUUCAUUAAAUAUACACUUUUCUGCAAAAUUAAAUAUUUUACUUAUUAUAUUUAUGUUAAUUUAUAUAUUUUCUUUCCUAAAAAAUGUACCUAUGUCAUCAAUAUGUAAUUGGUAUUUUGAUUGUCUAGAACAUUUUAAAUUUAAUUCUAAUUUAUUUUAUAAAAGAUAUUAGGUUUAGUUGAAUAAUGCUAUAUAACUACAAUUUCUUUCACGAUGUUCCUUGUUGUGUUAGGUCUAUUUUUAACAUGUACCCAUCGUAUCAUUAAGAAACUUGAAUCACAAGAAUGCUUAUGUAAUAACAUAGUGAUAUGAAAUGAUUUUCACGACGACAUUAUACAUGUAAAAUAAUAAAGAGUCAAUAGGUCUUCAAACAUGUAUUGAUCCUCAAAAUUUAAUUAUAACUUCUAGAAAUAAAUGAUGAACUUUAAAAAAUAAUCGAGAAAAAUAAAUUUCAAUAGAAAUAUUGAAAAGUGGGCUUUAAAAAUCAUUCAAAAAGUAAAUUGUAUUAUGUUUAUGAUUCAUAACAAUAAUAAAUCAAGCCAGGUGUCAAAUAAUUUCAAACAUUAAACCAUAUUUAUGACAACAUAAUCGCAUGUGGAUAACUAUAGGUUUUAUUUGUCAACUGAUUUUUGGAACGACGCUGUAUGAUGGUUAGGUUAUGAGUACCAUAUUGCCUUUUUUAUUUGGUUAAUUGGGUUUAAACCCAUACAAACUGACAAAAUAAACAAUAAAUACUUAUCAAUUCAAUAGAAUAUGUAUAUAUGAGGCCUUGAAAAAAAUUACAUGGAUAUAAAGUGUCUUAGUCAAAAGAUUCAUGCAGACACCUUUACACCAUAAUAUUAUUUUGUGAUAAUUAAGUGUUGCAACACCAAAAUUGUGUGAAAAAACACACACGAUUGAAUGAUUUUGUAUAUACUGUGCAUAAUUUUACAUGUGUCAUACGCUAAUUACGUGAAUGAUUGCAACAUCAAAAUUGUAUUACCAUAAGGCUCAAGCAAUAUGCAAAUCAAUCCUCGGGGACGUGAAUGUUAUGUGGGAUAGGGCGCCAGCUGCAUCACAGAAACUGCUAGAGAAGUGUUGGGUGUUUCGAGGGGUCGAGCAGGACGUCAUAAGAGGGAUUGGUGGUGGAAUGAUGAAGUGAAGAAGAAAGUGGAGUUUAAGAAGGGGGUGUAUGUUAAGUUGAUUGAGAGUAAAGAUGAAGAGGAGAAGCGGGUGAAUAGGGAGGUUUACAAAGUAGCAAGGAAGGAGGCUAAGUUAGCAUUACGACUGCUAAGUCGGCAGCAUUCGAGAGCUUGUAUGCGGGGUUAGAGGAGAAAGGCGGGGAAAAGAGGUUGUAUAGGCUUGCUAAGGCUAAGGAGCGGAAGGGUCGUGACCCCGAUCAAGUAAAAUGCAUUAAGGGGGAGGAUGGUAGUGUUUUGGUGGAGGAUGUUCACAUUAAGAAGAGAUGGCAGGAGUACUUUCAUAGACUUUUGAGUAAGGAGGGGGACAGAGGCAUUGAGUUAGGGAAGUUGGAGCACUCGGAGGAGAGCUGUGAUUUCAGUUAUUGUAGGCGUUUUAAGGUUGAGGAGGUCAGAGAGGCGAUUCGUAGGAUGUGGAGGGGUAGGACGACGGGGCCUGACGUGAUUUUAGUAGAUUUUUGGAAGUAUGUUGGUAUGACAGGUUUAAGGUGGUUGACUAAUCUAUUUAACGGCAUUUUCAAGACUGCAAGAAUGCCUGAGGCUUGGAGAUGGAGUUCGAUGAUUCCGUUGUAUAAAAACAAGGGUGACAUUCAGAGUUGCAACAACUAUAGGGGUAUUAAGCUGUUGAGUCACACUUAGGGCUGCAUAUCGGUCGGUUCGGUUCGAUUUUGAAAAUUAUCGAUUUUACUUGUUCAUUAUCGGUUUGUAUAUAUGCUAAACCAUUAAAGAACCAUUAAGAUAUCGGUUAAUCGGUUAUCGGUUUAUUGAUUUUUCAUUGUUAUUGGUUGGUUAUCGGGUGAACCGUUAACAAUAAUGUUUACUUCCUACGACCCUACUGCUUUAAUUAAAAUCGCAGUACAAAUAUAUGGUCAAAUCAUCUUUAACUGCAAAAUGAUGUUAUUCCGUAGAUACACACCAGAGGAGAACAAGUAAAACAAAGCUAACAAAAUCAACCUAACAACCUGGACUUGUUCAAACUAAAAGUUACAAUAUCACCAGGUUCAAGGUCAUUCAAGAAAAUUUUGUUUUUUCCUUUUCAGGGAGUAAUAAGAACUUAUAAGAAUUGUCCCGGAGAUGGCUUCUCCUAUGCAAAGUUAUAGGGGCCUAUAACGAUAUUUUUCAUUAAGCAGAAUCAGAGAGGCAAGAUUGGAAGAUGCAUAAAGAGACACAUUAAUUUGCUAUGUUAUGAAGGAUGUUGAUUAGCAUAAGAAAAGGUAACUGAACAGAAAUAAGUUAAUUUCUGAUUCUCAAACAGUGAAGAAGAUUUGACAUUUAAAAUAAUUUCUUGAUAACAGUGAUUGAGGCAUUGAGCAGUAAGAAUGAGAUAGUGUGAAUCGUCAUUACCUAUUGAGCGCAACAAAUCAUCUUUGGUGUGAGCUUGAAUACCUCUUCUUGGUGUGAAUACUAAGACGAGAGUGAGAGACGACUGACGAGGAGGCACUAAGAGAGUAAGAGGCAACUAGCGUCUGGAAAGAGUGUGUGUGAAUUGUGAAUUGUGAAUAAAGGAUAAACCCUAAGUGGCUAAUUCACUUAUUUCACUUUAGAAAGGGGUAUUAGGCUAUUGGCCAUUGGGAAUUAAUUGGGGCCUUUAGGCCAGACAGUAAUGGGAAUAAAAUAAAUGGGUUGAGUAGUGAGCACUAGAGUGUAAUAGUGUAUUAUUUAUUUAGGGUUAUCGGGCCACCCGAUAAAAAUAUUAAAUAAACCGAGGCCCAAACCAAUAAACCAAUUAUAAAAAUCUUAGAACUAAAACCCGACCCGACAGGUAAAAAAACUGAACCGUUAACUCGAUAAAUAUAUUAUCAGUUCGGGUUAACAGUUUGAACCAAAAUCUGUAUACCCCUAGUCACACUAUAAAGAUUUGGGAGAGAGUGGUUGAGCGGAGAUUGAGGAGGGUCGUGUCCGUUUUGGAGAAUCAGUUUGGAUUUAUGCCUGAUCACUCAAUGACAGAGAAAAUCCACCUGGUGAGGAAAUUGGUAGAGCAGUAUAGAGAAAUAAAGAGGGAUUUACACAUGGUGUUCAUCGACUUGAAAAAGGCAUAUGAUAAAGUCCCAAGGGAAGUUCUUUGGAGAUGUUUGGAGGUGAGAAGGGUCCCGAUAGCAUACAUCAGAGCUAUUAAGGACAUGUACGAUGGAGGAAAGACUCGGCUGAGGACAGUCAAAGGAGACUCAGAGUAUUUUUUGAUCAAGACAGGGUUGCAUCAGGGAUCGACUCUUAGUUCGUUCCUUUUUGCAUUGGUGUUAAACGUGUUGACGUGGAGUAUUUAGGGCGAGGGGGUGGGGGGGAGGGGGGAGGUGUAAAUGACAAAUUGGAGGUUUGGAGACAAACCCUUGAGUCUAAGGGGUUUAGGUUGAGUAGGUCCAAGACGGAGUAUUUGGAAUGCAAGUUUAGUGACUUCAGGCAGGAGGAUGAAGUGGUGGUGAGGUUGGACUCCCAAGAUGUUUGUAAGAGGGAUAGUUUUAAGUAUUUUGGGUCUAUGAUUCAGGAGAAUGGUGAGAUUAAUAAGGAUGUCUCUAAAUGUAUUAGAGCAGGUUGGAUGAAGUGGAGGCUCGUCUCGGGAGUGUUGUGUGAUAAAAAGGUGUCUCUUAAGCUUAAAGGAAAAUUCUAUAAAGUGGCAGUCCGUCCGGCCAUGUUGUAUGGAGCGAAGUAUUGACCAGUCAAGCACUCCCACAUUCAAAAAUUGAAGGUGGCAGAAUUGAGAAUAUUGUGUUGGAUGUGUGGGCUUACUAGAGGGGACAAAUUUAGGAAUGAUAUUAUUCGAGAGAAGGUGGGAGUGGCUUCAGUGAAGGACAAUAUGUGGGAAAGAAGGAUGAAAUAGUUUAGGCAUGUGAUGAGGAGGGGCGCGGAUGCCCCAGUUUAUAGGUGUGAGAGGCUAACUUUGGAUGGCUUCAGAAGGAGUAGAGGUAGGCCGAAGAAAUACCGAAGGGAGGUAAUUAGACAUGACAUGAAGCAGCUUCAGCUUACUAAGGACAUGACCCUAGAUAGAAAGGUAUGGACAUCGCAGAUAAGGGUAGAAGGCUAGUAUGAGUGUGUGGGUUGUAGCAAGAAGUCGGGAGAGAUCUUGUGUAGCUGGGUUAAUAAUCCUAGGAUUGUGUACAUAUAUGUCUUUGGUAUGUGAGCGUAUGUUACUACUAGGUGGGUGUCCUAUUUCUUAUUUCUUAGUUCCUAUUUUCUCUUUUUGUGUUGCCCUUAUUUCUCGUAUUUCGUAUUUCUCUGAUUUCUAUUUUAUUGUUUCUUAUUCCUUAUUUCUGUUAUGUCAUCCAUCCCCUUAUUUACUAUUCUUUAUCUUGAGCCGGGAGUCUAUCAGAAAUAGUCUCUCUACUUCUUCGAAGUUAGCGAUAUGGACUGCGUACAUCUUACCCUCUCCAAAUCCCACUUUGUGGGAAUACACUGGGUUUGUUGUUGUUGUUGACAGAGCAAUCCAAAUGGACAAAGAAAUAUAUAAUUGGAAUAACAUCUAUACAAAAAUAUCAUGCGAACACUCCAUUAUAUAUUUGUACCUCAUCUAUUCACCUUCAUAAUUUCAGAAAAUGUCUAAUAAUUUUGAUCUCCAUAAAAAACGUCCCUUCAUUUAGAAGAAAAUGGAGGUAUGAUAAAACUCCAGAGAUAUACUUGAUAAUACAAAGAGAAAAAAGAAAAGAUAGAAGAUUGAUCAAUGUAAAGAUUUAUGUAGAGUUAACCUAGCAAAUUGUUCCAUAGAGAAAUGGGCAUUUGAUCUUAUUAAUUACCUUUGUGUAUGAUUUUAAGAUUGGUCGCUCGAUCUCUUUAAAAAUAUUGAUCUAUGUGUAUGGGUCUUUGUGUAUGAUUUUAAGAUUGGUCGCUCUAACUCUUUAAAAAUAUUGAUAGAUGUGUGUGGGAUCCUCUAAAAGUAAUAGUUCAUAUUUCUUAAAGGAUUCGACAUAGAUACGACAAUGGUUUAGAAGUUUGAAGAGUCUGAGCAACAUCUAUAGAUCUCAGGUGUCCUGAAUAGUUCUCAAAUUCAAAAUUGUAAUGACCUCUCUAGUCGCUUUGUGAAAUUUAUUUGUCUUCCCUAUUUUAUUUCUUUCCAUAGUUUGUAUACGUCAAUUAUGACUUAGGAGAUAGGAAAUUCUUGAUUGGAAGUGAUUUAAGUCAUUACUUAGGUUCUUGAGUUUUAAUAAAGUUAAGCCUGAUCAUGGUCAAUCUUCAAUCAAGAUGACUCCGGAUUAGUCUUUUAGUGAUUCUAAUAGCUUCAGAAUGUAUUUUUUUUUAGUCAAUUUACAUAGUUAAUUUAUUUUUGUGAAACUCCAAACAAAUGUUGAGAAUUUAUUUAAAAGUUUUGGAAAUUUUGGAUAAUUAAUUUAAUUAGUAAUUUAAUGGGUCAAACUCACAGUUUACUUACUUAUGUGGUUAAUACAAAAAUAAACUUCAGUGAAAAGGGAUUUGGAAUUAAUAAUAACAAUAACACUAGAUAUAUGGAGCAAGGAGGGGGGAGGGCAUGACACUGCAGUGGUAUUCUUUUUUUUUUUUUUAUCUCUUCACAUCAUUGGAUUCGUGGAGAUCCCUACUCCGUACAAUUUCAGGUUCGUCUAUAAAUUUUGUAGAUUUAUUUUAUUCUUACUGUUACAGUGAUAUACCUAUAAUGGUGAGGGUGAAGAAAGAUCAACGGUGUCAACUAAUUAAGAGGAAUUUUGUAACUCGUGAUUUUAGAUUGGGUCACUGUAAUGUGAAUUAUUCACUUUUUUAAUUACGGAUAGAAAUUAAUGGGGUGUAUAAUGGUGCAGAUGAUUGGCAAUAAUGGUGUAGGUAAAGAGAAUGAGUGUUAUUUUGUCUUUAUUAAUAUUCCACUCAAGAAAUAUUUCAACUCCAUUAAUAAUAAUACUUUAAUAAUAAUUUUCAUGGAAAGACAACAGAGAAUGAAAUCAAAGAAAAACUACAUGCAUGGUACAUAAUUUGUAACAGUAUUCCAUAUUUAGCUUCAGGUUGGCAUAUUUUGCAUAUGAUUACCCACCGAUAUUUGACAAUCUUAGGUUUUAGGCCUAAAAUUCUUAGAGUAAGAAUUUAUAAAAUGGGUAUCAAUUAGUACUCUUAUGAGGAUUAUAUAUUUGGAUAUAUUUGAACCAUUCGAAAGUUUUACAAAAGGCCAAGGCCCUUGCAAAGUAGCUUGCAUCAAGGCUCUUCGAUUGAGGUAUUUUAUGAUUUAAUUGGAGUUUAGACUUGAUUUAAUUGUGAGUAUGAUCCUAAAUUAGAUGCUUGUUGAUUGAUCAUUGGACAUACUUGAAUUUGAUGAUAUUUGAACUAUUGACACUUUAUGAAUAACUAUUUAAAAUUGAACUUGAUCGAAUUGCCUUAUGAUUUUAAGUGCACUUGUAAAGUUUGUACGUUGUAUUAUAUCCUGAGAGAUAGUGUGAAGUUGGUAAAAGAUAUAUAAUAUGGUUAUGGAGGAUAGAGUACCAUACCGAUAUGAAUAUGGAUAUUGAUAUUACUUAUAUAUGGAGGAUCGAAUGCCAAGUCGGUACAGUGUAUGGACAUAGAUUAUCCCCUGAAGGUCAUGACUAGUUGGGUAAAAAUAAGUCCCAUAGCAUGUGUGUACAGAUUUGUGUUGAUUUUGAGAGGUUGUGUGGUGUAAUAAGCUAAUAACGAGCUAAUGACGUUCUAUUUGCAAGGUUUAUAAGGACAUAGUUGUUACUUAUGGUAUUAUUGUUGAUUUUGUGGAUGUUUAGAGUAUGGUUGAUACUCUUGAUAGUUAUAUGGCCUAUCCGUAACCAUUUUUUGGCCUAUCAUUAAUGCAUUUGUUGAUUCAUUGAAUGCUUGCUAUGUGUUGAUGUCUGUCUACUUAUUAUUUGAUUUAUGUCGUAUACAUGCUAUUAAAUUAUGAUUUAUGUCGUAUACAUCUAUUAAAUUAAGUUGGCUUAUGAUACCUACCAGUACAUAGUGGUUUGUACUGAUACUACAUUAUGAUCUUCUUUUGUUAAGUGCAGAAAGUGCAUCAGAGGCUCAGACAUGACCUUAUCUCUAGCGUUUAAUAGCAUAUCUCGAUCCAAGGAUGAGCACUCCAUCCCCAGGACGACAUGGAUCAUCAUAUUAGUUCUUGUCCAUCUUUCGCGCAAUGAGACAUCUUUAUUUUCUUUAUUCUGGAUAUCUCUUUUAGACAUAGUUUUUAUUUUAUAAGUUCUUGUACAAUGACUUUCAGAUCUUGGGGAUUUUUAUAAGUAACUUUUAUGAUUUU
rnacentral:lncRNA from 1 species